rnacentral:sRNA from 1 species
AGCAAAGGAUGCUCACUCCUCAUAGGCACCUGAUUCUACCUCUAUCUAUUUGGAAGACCGUGUUGCUCUGCUUUGAAUUUAUGUUUCGUUUUAUGGAUUUUUUGAGAUGGUUUACGGUUUGUUAUUGUCAUUUUUUUCGUAUAAAUUUCACAUAAAAUCAAUUUUGUUUUCUCUUCUGAAUUCAAGACUCAUACAUUUCUUAAUUGAUUUCUUUUUUGUCCAUCGUUCUCUUUAUUAUGCUAUCACAAACAGAAAGACGACCUUAUUUAAUAUUUCAACCAAAUACUUACUGAAUGCAAUUCUUUUUUAGGCUGUUUGAUGUCCCAAAACCCGGUAUUUAUCCACCCCAAAAUGCAGUUUAUUAUUACGCAAAUGAGCUAUUUACUAAAUAAAUGUGGUGACAGUUUGUAUCUGCGUUACAUGGGGUAGACUUAUUCUAUACUUAAAUCACCUUACGCUGAACUGCGAUGUCGGGCAAUGUCAUAUCUUUAUUCAGUCUGAAUAAGGACUAUCUGUCGAAUUCAAAUACUCUCAAAUGUUCUCCUUUAACGAAACGAUAUACUUACGGUCAAACUAUAAGUUCGGGUAAAUAGCGAGAUUGUUCGAUUCGGUCGUCUGUUUCGAAUGAAGAAAAAUUCAAAGUUCGCUUUAAAAUCUUUUAAAUAAGUCUUAAACGUGAGCUUGAGCGAUUAUUCUUUAUUACAUGUUGAUUUAUACCUUUGCACUUUCCGCAGUGGGAGAAGCGUCGUUAUGAAUUUAGAAAAAAAAAUAGGAUUUCUUUAUGAAACUUCAUUAUAUCCCUUUUUAGAUUUGACAUAUGAUAUUAAAUCAUAAUAUUAUUGUAAACAAAAAGAAUUUUCUAAUUUCUGAGAGGAUUCAUAGCGCAUGUUGAACACAUGAAUGGACAAUAAUGUAUGUAGCAGUCUAUAAGGUUGUGUAUAAAUUGAUAAUAAAGGAAUGAUUUUAUGACUUU